UUAAAGUUGUAUUCUGCAUCUACUCUUUCAUGGGUCUUUCCCACCUCAGAAGUUGACAGCUCCAUGUGAUUAUUUGUAUUCUGGCCGAUUUUUAAGAACAAAUGCACCUUAUAGCUCAUGGAAGAAAAAACACAAAUCAAAACAUUUUUGGGUUCAAAGUUGCCAAAGUAUGGAGCAAAGUCUGUAAGAAGUACGCUGCAGCCAAUGCCAAAUGGGACAGCUGUUAGUUUAUUAGGAACGUCUAAGAGUGGUAAUGUGAACAGUUAUAUCAAAAACAAUGGAUCUGAUUGUUCAUUGUCCCAUUCAUUUAACUGGAGAAAAGCAAGUAAAUACCAGCUUAAUGUUCAGGGUACUGAAGAGCCUGAUAAUACUCAAAAUUUACAUGAUAAAUUAAUUGACCCAGUAAAGCAUGCUCCUACUCAAGGAAGGUUUGAUAAAAAUGGAGUAAAAGGAGGUUUGAAAAGUGCUGCUUUUUUCACAUCAAAAAUAGCAAAGCCAUCCACUAUGUUUGUAUCAUCUACAGAAGAAUUAAACCAAAAGUCUUUCUCUGGACCAUCUAAUUUGGGCAAAUUCACCAAAGGCACAUUGUUCGGAAGGACUUCCUUUUCUUCGAUCAGUACUCCAAAAUCACAGUUGAAUGGAUUUUAUGGCAGCCGAUCGACUAACAGCAUGCAGAGUCCUAGAGUGAACUCCUGUGCCACUAGAAGCAGUUCUGGAGAAAGCUUAGCACAGUCCCCAGACAAUAUUAAAUCUAGUACUUGUGAGAAAAUGGUAAGGUCACAGAGUUUUUCACAUUCCAUUGAAAAUUCAUUCCUUCCCCCUUCAUCUAUAACCAGGUCACAUUCCUUCAAUAGAGCUGUAGAUCUCACAAAGCCUUAUCAAAACCAACAGCUACCCAUUCGAGUGCCUCUCCGGUCAAGUAUCCUGACAAGAAAUUCCCGCCAAUCAGAAGUACUCAAUGGGAAUGAACAUUUGGGCUAUGGAUUUACUAGGCCUUAUGCUGCAGGUGGAAAGAAGCUGGCUUUACCAAAUGGCCCAGGUGUAGCUUCCUCCUUGGGUUAUAGGAUGGUUCAUCCCUCUCUUCUGAAAUCUAGCCGACCUCCAUUUGCUGGAACUCUCACAGUUGAUAGUAAUAAAAAUUCACCUGCUGACAUGUGUGUAGAGGAAGAGACUGCAGAUUUGACUAAGGACAGCACUAUUAAGAAGGACCAAGAAUUAAUUGAAAAUGAAAGUUAUAGAACAGAGAAUGAUCAGACCAUGAAAAAUGAUACGAAAAUUAGAUACUUGAGUGAUGAUGUGGAUGAUAUUUCCUUGUCUUCUUUGUCAUCUUCUGAUAAGAAUGAUUUAAGUGAAGACUUCAGUGAUGAUUUUAUAGAUAUAGAAGACUCCAACAGAACUACAAUAACCCCAGAGGAAAUUUCUCUCAAAGAAGAAAAGCAUGAAAGUGUACCAUCGAAAGAUAUCUUUGAUUCCCCUAAGGAAAAUGAAAAGGACUACAGUAAAACUGAUGAAUGGCUAGAUAUAAGUGUAUCUGACAGGAGUGAAUGUGCAAAACAUACCUCUGGAAAUAACUUAAUUUCACCGGAUACAGAUUACAGAGCUGGUUCUUCAUUUGAACUCUCUCCAUCUGAUAGCUCUGACGGGACGUACAUGUGGGAUGAAGAGGGCUUGGAACCCAUUGGAAAUGUCCACCCUGUUGGGAGCUACGAGUCUUCUGAAAUGAACAGCAUAGAUAUUCUGAAUAAUCUCGAGUCAUGUGAUCUUGAGGAUGAUGAUCUUAUGCUUGAUGUGGAUCUGCCUGAGGAUGCACCUCUUGACAAUGUGGAGUGUGACAAUAUGAACCGCUUUGACCGAUCAGACAGAAAUGUACGGCAGUCUCAGGAGGGAUUUUGGAAAAGGCCACCCCAGAGGUGGAGUGGACAAGAACAUUACCACCUCAGCCAUGCUGACCACUAUCAUCACCAUGGGAAAAGUGACUUGAGCAGAGGCUCUCCUUACAGAGAAGCACCUUUGGGUCAUUUUGAAAGCUAUGGAGGAACCCCCUUUUUCCAGACGCAGAAGGUGUUUGUGGAUGUCCCAGAAAACACUGUGAUGCUGGAUGAGAUGACCCUGCGGCACAUGGUCCAGGACUGCACUGCUGUGAAAACACAGCUGCUCAAACUGAAGCGGCUGCUGCAUCAGCAUGAUGGAAGUGGGUCAUUACAUGACGUUCAGCUGUCAUUGCCCUCCAGUCCAGAACCAGAAGAAGCUGAUGAGACAUAUAAGAAUGAAGAUUUAUUAAAUGAAAUAAAACAGCUUAAAGAUGAAAUAAAGAAAAAAGAUGAAAAAAUUCAACUAUUAGAACAUCAACUUGCAACCCGGUGUAAGUGUCACCAAAAAUCAAAAGAGGAAAAAUGCUCAUAUGCUGAUAAAUAUACCCAAACACCUUGGAGAAGAAUUCCUCCUCAAGUACUACAGCCUUCCAGCAGCCUUCCCAGACCCACAGACCACGCCCAGGGAAAAUUAACAAAGCCACCACACACCGAGGCCCACAGUGAGUGCACGGUCCAGGGCCUGUGUCAGGACAGUGCACAUCCAGAUGGAAGUUGUUCACGCAGCUCGCAACAGGAAAACAGCAGUGGUUUGGAAGACCGGCCUUUCCCCUCCAGCCCACAGUUGAAAGUGGAUGCAGCUAGGUGUACACCUUGUGAAGUGAACUUGAACAUGACCACGAAUGUUCCAGAGCCUUCCAACUUGGAAAAGAAUCAAAGCAGUGACACACAGUUUGUACCUUCUCUUCAGACACCUGCCCAGUCAAGCACAGAGGACCAAGCUACAGGGAUUGGAAGCGAUCAUUCUCUGCAGAUGGGCUACCCAUCCCAGCCCAAGUCCUUGCAGCUUUUAAAACCAUCUACCUUGAGUUCUUUGGCACCUCCUCCAGACUCCAAAUCAGCUCCAAGUAAAACUCCCACUUCUAAGAAGUCACUGAUAGUCACUCCAUAUAACUCACCAAAACUUCAGCCAGCAUCUGGUCAAGGAAGCCUGACAAAUAUGAAUUUGAAAGCAUCUAAGCUCCGCCCUCCUUCCACCUUUUUCAAACAAAAACAAGUAGGCAACGCUGGUCCUGGACCAGAGCCUCAAAACUUCCAGGCCAAGACAAGCAUCCCAAGGCCACUAGUACGACAAAAAGAAAUCAUGCAGAAUCCAAGUGGCAAUUUCCAUUCUGGGGAUUGUUUGGCCUCUAAUCGAUAUUCUCGUCUUCCUAAACCAAAGAUACAUUAAGUACAUAGCCACCACCUGCCAAUUUGUUUUUCUUUAAAAAUCCGUUCUGUAAUAGCUUUGUGUGCAGUUUGCUACUGUGUUGGAGGUCCUAUUGAAAGCCUGCAAAUCUCAAAAUUAAAAUGUGGAAGUUUCCACUAGUUUGACUCUUCCAUUUAUGUCCUGGUUGAAGUACCUACCAUGGGAGCAUACUUGUCUCAGGUAAACACAAAAGUUUGCUUAUCCAUCCCAGAGGCCUUCACGUCUCUAAUCAUGCUAUCCAUUGCCCUGGACAUCAUGGAAGUUGGAAUAUUCCAUGAGCAGGCGAGAAGUGUGCUUUGCUGAUUUAGUCCUCUUGUGUGAUCUGUGUUACUGUGCUUAGCGGAGCCCGCCCCUUUUACAUGUUCCCCUGGGAAUGUGGCUGCCAUGUAACUAACAAUGUGGUAAUAGCAGAAGAUGGUCAUCUGUAAGCAGAGCUCUGGCCAGUGUUUUGUAUACUUAAAAGGUCUAUGCAAAAGCUUUGUGAUGAAUAAAGGAGAACAGGCUUUUAAUGGGAAGUCUAUGUAUGUUUUAUUUUUCCUUACUGGGAUCAGCAAAUAAUACUAGCUUAUUAAUUUACAGAUGGAUUUCCCAGGCUGAAAAUGUUCAAUAUUGUAUAUAAACCAGUUAUACUUUGCUUUAACACCUUGUUUCUCGUAACACAUUACCAUUGUGCUUGUAUUGGUACUGGGUAGAUGUGGAGAGCUUGUGAUACACCUUGAAACCCAUUCCUAAUGGUGUAUCUGUUUGUAAUAUGUGUUGGUGCUAGAAUUUUGUUGGCAGUUCAGUUUCAAACCCUGUAGACUGACCCGUCAUAGCUGGUUUAAGGUUCCACAGCAUAUAUUUUAAAUUAAGUCUUUAUUGUAAUAUUUAUAUUUAUUGACUCUGCUAAUAUCCGAAGACUGGAACAAUGGACUUGAAAUAUUUGCACAAAGCUCUGCUGGGAUAUAAGUAUCCCACACAUAGGGAUUUAAAGCUUAUUUUCUAUAGCAAAAUAAGUUAAAAUAUUUUGAAAAGAAUUAAAAUUUAAGACUCUCUUGAGAAAGAAUUCAUAGUAGUUUUGUUUUAUUUAGUUUCCUAGGUUUCUUUUUUCACUUGACGAUUAUUUGAAUGACAGUUCCUUGAAAAGUAGAUAUGAGAAGGAAAAUAGGACUAUACAUGGGAAACUGUGUUUCAUUAAGAGAUAUUUCAAAAGAAAUACGCUUAUUUAUUUUAAUGUGCCACCCAAGGUAGUCGUGGAACCUCCAAGUGAUCAUGUGUAUGAACCCAGUUGUGCUUUGGACCACUUGUCGGACAGUUGAGUACAUUUGCCUUCUCAGAGAACACACUGACAUCAUGUCAUCUUUAGGCUGAUCUAAAUCUGAAUCUGAAUUUUGAAUAAUAUUUAUAGAUAAAAUACCUUAGAUCAGUUUAUGUUUCAAUUCAUGUUUUGAUCAGUUACCAAAAAUAUAUCAAAAGGAAUUAUGGCCAAAAGAAUCACUUGGAUUUCUAAGGAUUCCUUUAAGAAAUGCACAUUACUGAAAUUGUCUGCUGUCUUUUAAGAGAAAAAUAGCAAGUGCUUGAGUGGAAUUCCCAAAGUGGUGUUUGCUCCAUUCUGAUUCAGACUUCACCCCUGGGAGCCGUGUCCCUGGAGUUGCCACAAACUUUUUCUUAGACUUGGUACUAGGUGAGCAGCGCGGAUCCAGUAUUUGUGUGAUAAUACCAGUAGAGCCUUUCACACAACUAUAACCACUCACACCACAACAUUGAUCUCAGUAUUUAGGAUUUCCUGUGUUAAUGUUAGAGACCCCUUUGCCUAGUCAGAUACUGUUAGUGGGGAGUCACCACACUCAUCAGCAGGGCUCUGCUUUGUUCCUGGAGCUGAGCCUAGAAGGCUACAACUGUGAAGGAGAGCAUGUGUGGUCUUUUGUUUUGAAGGGGAGAGAAAACUGAUUUCAUGCACUGCAAAUAGGAUGCUGUCUUCUGUAAAGUAAAACACAAUAAGGAAUGACAUAGUAGGCAUCUGGUUUGUUUAGAAGUUUGGUAUAGACCCUUCUAAAAAUUAUUUACAAGUUGGCCUUAUCCUUAGGGAAAACUGUUUAUGUUUUUUUUAAACCCCCAGUCUAGAGGAAAUGUCUUUAUUGACUGUAACAUAAAAGCAUUGUCUCCAGUAAUGUAUUCCUUUGUGCUAUUUUUAUUCUCUGAUGAAUUUGAAGAGGUGUUCACUCAUGGGUGGCUCAGCUUCUCUGUACCUUUGUUAAGCAUUCCACUUAGCAGAAGAGAGAGCCAUCAAUAUAAUUACAAAGCAUAUUUAAGAGAAAAAAUAUCUAGAAUGCUUAUAC